GCAGAGACAUAGAUGGAGGGAGAAGCAGGCUCCAUGCAGGGAGCCCGAUGCAGGACUCGAUCCAGGGUCUCGAUCCAGUGUCUCCAGGAUCACGCCCUGAGCAGAAGGCAGGCGCCCAACCGCUGAGCCACCCAGAGAUCCCCCCCCUUUUUUUUUUGCUUAUGUGAUUUUUAAAAAGUCACUGUCUUUUAGUAGAUAAAAUUAUAUGAAAUCUGGAACUUCAAAAUAGUUCAAUGGAGGAGGAGUAUGUGAGGGUUGAGAUGAAACAAUUGGCCAUGAUUUCAUAGUUGUUGAAUCUAGGUGAUGUGUACAUAGGGACUCAUAUGGUUACUCAACUUUUGUACGUGAAGUUUUCUGAAAUGAAAACUUAUUUUAAAAUUUUUUUUAAAAAAGAUUUUAUAUAUUUAUUUGAAAGAAUGAGAGAAAACAUGAGCUGGAGGAGAGGCAAUGGAGAGCAGGGGGCCCAACAUGGGGCCCAAUCCCAGGAUCACGACCCAAGCCAACUCAGACACUCAACCAACUGAGACACCAUGCACCUGGGUAUAACAAAAUUAUUUUUUAUUUUUAUUUUUUUAACAAAAUUUUUUAAGUGAUGAACUACUACCAAUUAUAAUUUAUGCCAGGAAUGUAAAGGUGUUUCAAUAUUAGAAAACUUAUUAAUGAAACAUAACAAAAUAAUAUAUUAAGAAAGUAAUAUCACUAAACACUAUAAAAUUGUUGAUAAGGCUUUAAUAUUUGCACUCGAUUUGAUUUUAUUUUGUUUUCUUUUGUUUUUCUAAGUAGACUUCACACCCAGCAUGGAGUGGGGCUUGAACUCAAGACCAUGAGAUCAAGACCUGAGCUGAGGUCAAGGGUCAGAUGUUUAACCAACUGAGCAGCCCAGGUGCCCCUUGUACCUGAUUUUAAAUAGGCAAAAUUAGAAUAAAAAGUUAAUCUUGUUAAUGAAAUAUAGGUUAUGUUAGUAUUAAUAUAUAUGUAUAGAUCUAGCCGAUAAUUAAAAUACUAGGAGCACUGCUCCCAAAAAUAUCAGAAAUCUACCAACUAUUAAUUUUACAAAAUAUUUUAAAAUUAGACUGGAUUUAGAUAACUAUAGACUCAGAUUAAGCUAUAGGAAAUAAUAGAGAUCACACAUAUCUUUCACCCAGUUUUCCCUGUGGUAACAUCUUGCAUAACCUAAUACAGGAUCACAAUGGGAAAUCAAACAUUGAUACACUCUAUCAAGGUUAUUUAGCUAUACCAGUUUUUCAUGUACCUGUGUGUCUGCGGUUUUAUCAUGUAUCCCUUCUUGUAACACUGUAAUCAAGAUACAAAACAGUUCUGUCAAUACAACAAUCCUCAAGUGACACACUUUUAUAAAUACAUCCACCUUCCACUCUCCCUUCUCCUGUCCCUAACCAUUGACAACUACUAAUCCAUUAACCAUCUCUAUAAUUUUGUCCUUUCAAGAAUGAAUGUAAUCAUACAGUAUGUAGCCUUCGGGGUUGUCUUUUUUCAUUUGACAUAAUAUCCUUAAAAUCUGUCCAAGUUACUUUGUCUAUCAACAGUUUGUUCCUAUUUAUGCCUGAGUAGUGCUAUUAAUUUACUACCGUUUGUGUAACAACCCUUGCAUUGAAGGACAUUUGGAUUUUUUCCUGUUUUGGAUUAUUAAGAAAUAAAUGCCACUUUGAAUAUUUGUA
rnacentral:lncRNA from 1 species